GAUGAACGCUGGCGGCAGGCCUAACACAUGCAAGUCGAGCGGGGUUUUCGGACCUAGCGGCGGACGGGUGAGUAAUGCGUAGGAAGCUACCCGAUAGAGGGGGAUACCAGUUGGAAACGACUGUUAAUACCGCAUAAUGUCUACGGACCAAAGUGUGGGACCUUCGGGCCACAUGCUAUCGGAUGCGCCUACGUGGGAUUAGCUAGUUGGUGGGGUAAUGGCCCACCAAGGCGACGAUCCCUAGCUGGUUUGAGAGGAUGAUCAGCCACACUGGAACUGAGACACGGUCCAGACUCCUACGGGAGGCAGCAGUGGGGAAUAUUGGACAAUGGGCGCAAGCCUGAUCCAGCCAUGCCGCGUGUGUGAAGAAGGCCUUCGGGUUGUAAAGCACUUUCAGUAGGGAGGAAGGGUGUUGUGUUAAUAGCACAGCAUUUUGACGUUACCUACAGAAGAAGCACCGGCUAACUCUGUGCCAGCCGCCGCCGUAA
rnacentral:rRNA from 1 species